rnacentral:rRNA from 1 species
UACGUGAGGGUGCAAGCGUUUGUCCGGAAUUAUUGGGCGUAAAGAGCUCGUAGGCGGCCUUGUUGCGUCUGCCGUGAAAAUUCACAGCUUAACUGUGACGUGCGGUGGAUACGGGCAGGCUUGAGUUCGGUAGGGGAGACUGGAAUUCCUGGUGUAGCGGUGAAAUGCGCAGAUAUCAGGAGGAACACCGGUGGCGAAGGCGGGUCUCUGGGCCGAAUACGUGACGCUGGAGGAGCGAAAGCGUGGGGAGCGAACAGG